rnacentral:piRNA from 1 species
CGAGCCAAAAUAGGUUGUUUUGAGUCAGGU